rnacentral:rRNA from 1 species
GAUGAACGCUGGCGGCGUGCCUAAUACAUGCAAGUCGAGCGAACAGAUGAUGAGCUUGCUCCUCUGACGUUAGCGGCGGACGGGUGAGUAACACGUGUAUAACCUACCUAUAAGACUGGGAUAACUUCGGGAAACCGGAGCUAAUACCGGAGAAGAUAUUGAACCGCAUGGUGCAAUAGUGAAAGACGGUUUUGCGGUCUCUUAUAGAUGGAUCCGCGCCGCAUUAGAUAGUUGGUAAGGUAACGGCUUACCAAGGCAACGAUGCGUAGCCGACGUGAGAGGGUGAUAGGCCACACUGGAACUGAGACAGGGACAAGACUACUACGGGAGGCAGCAGUAGGGAAUCGUAGGCAAUGGGGGAAAGCAUGACGGAGCAACGCGGAGUGAGUGAUGAAGGUCUUCGGAUCGUAAAACUCUGUUAUUGGGGAAGAACAAAUGUGUAAGUAAAUAUGCACGUAUUGACGGUACCUAAUCAGAAAGCAACGGCUAACUACGUG